rnacentral:rRNA from 1 species
UUGUUGGCGGGGUAACGGCCCACCAAGACAUCGAUGGAUAGGGGUUCUGAGAGGAAGGUCCCCCACAUUGGAACUGAGACACGGUCCAAACUCCUACGGGAGGCAGCAGUGAGGAAUAUUGGUCAAUGGACGAGAGUCUGAACCAGCCAAGUAGCGUGAAGGAUGACUGCCCUAUGGGUUGUAAACUUCUUUUAUAUGGGAAUAAAGUGAGCCACGUGUGGCUUUUUGUAUGUACCAUACGAAUAAGGAUCGGCUAACUCCGUGCCAGCAGCCGCGGUAAUACGGAGGAUCCGAGCGUUAUCCGGGUUUAUUGGGUUUAAAGGGAGCGUAGGCGGACUAUUAAGUCAGCUGUGAAAGUUUGCGGCUCAACCGUAAAAUUGCAGUU